UACAGAGGUCCCAAGCGUUGUUCGGAAUUACUGGGCGUAAAGGGCGCGUAGGCGGCCUGCUAAGUCGAACGUGAAAUCCCUGGGCUCAACCCAGGAACUGCGUCCGAUACUGGUUGGCUUGAAUCCGGGAGAGGGAUGUGGAAUUCCAGGUGUAGCGGUGAAAUGCGUAGAUAUCUGGAGGAACACCGGUGGCGAAGGCGACAUCCUGGACCGGUAUUGACGCUGAGGCACGAAAGCCAGGGGAGCGAACGGG
rnacentral:rRNA from 1 species